ensembl:lncRNA
UUUAAGGACAAACUACAUCAUCCGUUUUCAUAGUUCGCUAAUUUUUCUUUUAGCUGGUUUAGUUCAACAAAAAUGGAAGAACCUCGGGAAGAGGUUAACGUCAGAAACUUUUGCAGAAACUGGAGGAACUGCUGCAACUAUGUUUUCCAGAACAUAUUUAUGUUUGCGAGUUUGGCGGCUGUUGUUCUCGGUCUGGGUCCCUCUCCAAAGCCAGCUCCUCCAGCUCUUUUGGAGGGACACCAAUCCAUUUCCUAUCCAGCUGGGAGACAUAAUCUCUCCAGCGGGGGGGGCAUCUGACUUCAACCACUGCUCAAUCCACAAAGCAAUAAAACCCUUUGGCUCCUCCUGUAG